GUACUCUUUUUCUCUUCAAACCGUAUAAAUCUUUCGCCUUUUACUAAAGAUUUCCGUGGAGAGAAAGAUAAAGAGUUCAUAUAUAUAUAUACAAAUAUAUAUAUAUAUAUAU